UCCCAAAGAGCUGGGAUUACAGGCAUGAGCCACCGCACCCGGCCAGAAUAUUUUAAUUAAUUUUUUUCCUCUAACAUAUUUCACAAAACACACUUUUGCAAAGACCAGAAUACAAGCACACCUCUGUAUUUUAUGUCGUUGCUGUUGUUGCCAUCAUACUCCUCUGAGAGUGUAUGGAGGUCCACACCCAACUUUCUUGGUAAAACAGCAUCCUAUUUUUAUCUGUUGGAUUUUCAAUUCUAAGAUUCAAAUCCAAGCAUCUUCUUGCUUGUAGGCAAAGUGACCACUAGAGGGAAGCAACUGCCAGGCAGAGCAAUUUCUUCACGCCAUGGGUAAUUUGAUCCCUGUGUGUCAUACUCCAAGGGUUUGGACAGAAUACCUAGUUCUAACAGGAAGUUAGUAGUCACGGAGCCUGGCUACUGCCAAGCUCUUUCACUGACUUUGAUCAAACCACACUUGGGGCUGCGUGCAGUGGUUUAUAUCUGUAAUCCUAGCACUUAGGAAGGCCUAGGUGGGAGGAUUGCUUUAGAUCAGGAGUUUGAGACCAGCCUGGGCAAAAUAGGGAGACGUUAUCUCUACAAAAAAGUAAAAUAGGCAUGGAGGUGCACAACUGUGGCCCUAGCUACUAAGGAGGAUGAAGUGGGAGGAUCGCUUGAACCCAGAAGUUAAAGGUUGCAGUGAGCUAUGAUUGUGCCACUGCACUCUAGUCUGGGCAACAGAGCAAGAACCUGUAUCUAAUAAAUAAAUAAUAAACAAACAAACAAACCACAUUUGGGCUCUGUGUCCCUGGGUCUUUAUAGACACAAAGUAUAGCCUUGGGAAACAUGAGUGGCCUUUAUUUAUUUUUGUGAAACUCUCCCAGUAAUUCUUUUUAUAAGGCUCUUCCGUCACCUCUUUUAAGACUAACUGGAGCGGUAACCCCUCCUUAGGCUCAGAGAUGACAUUCUCUCCAUUCAGCCAGCUUGUCCUCUGCCCUCAUGGGACACAUCGCUCUUCUUGAGCUGAUGGGAGUCUGAGAAACAAUCUUAUACACCAAAGAUAACCCUCCAUUCCUCUAUGGGCAGAAAAACAGAUCGCAAUUAGAUGAGCCAGGGACCUUAAUAAAUGCAGAUGUCCAUUUAAAUAAACCAGCAACUCUUGGGAUGUAAACAGAAACAGAAACAUACUUCAUAAUUAGAGAUGAAUGAUGAGCAAAUGAGUCAGUAGAGGAUGGAUUAAAGCAAUAGUCUAUAGCAAUAAUCAGAAAGUCAGAGCCCAAAUCUCAGAUCUCUCAGUAAUUGUUAAUUUUUGUUAGAUUAUUUAGUGUUUCUGAGUUUCAGCUUCUACAUCUGUACAAAGAAUCUGAUGAUACUUAUUUGUGUGCAUGCACAAAGCUAGGUACAUUGUAGCAUUCAAAUGUUCAUCUUAAGAAACAAAAUGAAGGGUGAAGAAAAAGAGCAAACUUUGUGCAUCUAAUACCUGGUACAGUGGAGUCAACUAGUGCUUUGGGGCAUAUCACACUGGUGGUCUAAUUCCAGCUCUGCCAUCUACUGGCUGUGUGACCUUGGACUUGUCACUGACCCAUAUUCAACCUCAGUUUCUUAUUUGGAAACCUAAAGUAUUAAUGGCUGCUUGAUAUCCAAAGGAGACAGAUGAUAGGCAUCAAGUCAGUAGCUACCAAGGAUUAUUAUUUUCCACAUAAGGUACUUUUCUAAAUUCAUCCUGAUUAAUACUAUAAUAUAAUCUCAUCAUCAACCCUCUAAAGCAGGAAUUAUUAUCCCCAUUUCACAGGCCAAGAAACUGAGAGAUUUAAAACUAGACAGUGUCUGGACUGUUUCUGUGGUCUAAUUGUUUCAUCAUGCCUUAACUGAAGUAGAAGACCUGUUGACCCAUGCUGACUACUAGAGCUCCUGGCUAAGGUUUCCUUUGCUUUCCUUUGUUUGUUUGUUUGUUUUUGAGAUAGGGUCUCACUCUGUCACCUUAGCUAAUGUGAAGUAUCGCAAUCACAGCUCACUACAGCCUUGAAUUCCUGGGCUCUAAUGGUCCUCUUGCCUUAGCCUCUAGAAUAGCUGCUACAAUGCAGGUACAUGCCACCAUACAUGGCUAAUUUUUUAUUUUUUGUAGAGACUGGAGUCUUGCCAUGUUGCCCAGGCUGGUAUCAAAUUCAUGGCCUCGAGCUAUCCUCCUGCACUAGCCUUCCAUAGCCCUGAAAUUACAGGUGUGGGCCCCCAUGACCAGCCUAAGGUUCUCUCUGAUAAGUGCUAUUUCCUCCGCAGCCUUCCCAAAGCUUUGGGGGGUACACACUUUCUUUGCCUACCGUUUUCUCCUCUAGUGUGUGCAUUGACUGAAAUCACCCACUAGAUGGUGCUGAUAUACUAACUUUGGUUUGCUUUGGCAUCUACCCGGUGAAUUAAAAAUUUACUUUAUACAUCAACAAACCAAAAUCUCUACAUAAAUCUCAGCUUGUAAGAAUCAUAUACUUGUAAAGAUUUUUUUUUUUAAAUUCAGGGUGAACUCUGGAGGCUUAGUUAUCUUGCUUAAAAAUGCAGACCAGCCUUCUAUAAAUUUACCAGCUGAGGCUCUUCUAUGGCCAUGAGCAAUCUCAACACUGUGUGUGUAUCUGCUCCAGGGUGAGAUGGAAAUUAUUAGCGGCUUUUUCUCUGAGUGUAUAGCUCAAUGGGCUUGUGAGAGCCCACCAGCUCUCCAUAGCUUCUGCUUACUGCUCUGUGAAAGGAGACGCAGAAUACAGACUCGGCUCACAGCUCAUGUGAGGAUAGAACAGGGUAUUCUAGUAGAUCUGAUUACUCUCUGAUUUCCACUUCUUUCUCUUAUUGCCUGUCACAAAUGUCUAUAAAAUCAUCAUUUUGGAAAAGUAUCACACCCCUUUAUAACAACAAUAAUAACCAACCUCUAUAUAGCCUUUUGUGGUUUACAAAGCAUGUCUCUCUCAAAUAUUUAAUAUAUCUAAAUUAACAGUCAGUGUUAUUUACUCCAUUUUACAGAGGAGAAAUUAAGGCUCAAGGGAGUAAGUAGAUUCCUAAGGAUCUACAAACUAUUUAAUUACAGUGCCAGAACUUGAACCCAAGCUUUCUGAUUACAAGUAUCUGGCUAAUGUCACUACACAAGAUAAAAACCUUUAUUACAUCUAAGGAAUACACUUAUAAUGACAACUCAUAUCCUGCUACUUCUUUUCUGAAUACCUCUGAAUUUCACCUUACUUCAAAAUUCAGAGUCCCUGGAGGGAGAAAACAACCCUCUCUCCCCACUUUUCUUGUUUCCUCCCUCCUGUCUUCCAUUCUAGUGCCCAACCCAGCAAUAAAUGUUGUGGGAGGCAACAGAGAAGACACUGUCUGUGUUCCAUGUAGCUACAGAACACCAAAGCUGGAAGGGAUUAUUGUGAUUAUCUCAUCUAACCACCCCUUUUCCAUUUAAGGAAAUCAAGCCAGGAAGGACAAGAAAUAUUCCUAUAUGUGACGCCAUGGGAUUGUCUCAAAUGACCUACUUUUAAUUGCAGUGAAUCUAUACCUUGGUAUACAUUAGUUUAGAAACUGUGUUCAUGCCAACUGCAUUUCCUUUAAAAGAACAUCUAGUUUAAGUUUUUCACUCAUGCAGCAUCCCCUCUUCCCUCUGACCCCCAACAUACAUACACAAUAAUCUUGGGAUCUUCCAACUUUGUCUUAUGAAAUCUUAUCAAAGUUGAAAUCUUCAUGUCACAACUUUACUAUUUUAGGGUCUAAGGCAAAGCAAAUUCAACGAAAUCUGAGCUGUAAUUGGCCUUUUUAUUCUUUAUUUGCCUCAUACCUCCUGUUUGUCUUGUAGAUGCUUCUGCUAUUGAAAUAAUCUCAAUGUAUUACAGCUGCCUUUCUCCUUACCUGCUUCUCUCAGGGAGCUGAAUAGCCUUUGGGAAAAGAACUGAAUCUUAGAAAUCUUUGUAACUCCAGAGUCUACUCUAGUUUUUGGCAAAGAGUACAUGAUCAAUAAUUAAUUGCUAAAUUAAAUUACAGUGCAUUAAAUUGGACCUCCACAUUAAGAACCACCUCUCUGGGCAUGUAUCAUCAGGAUUUUAAAAUCCAGAUGGAUUUAGGAAAAAAGCACCUAUUAAUAGAUAUUGAAGGUUGAAGAUCUAUUAAGAUAUUUAAGGUUUAACAAACACUUUUCUAAUUCUGCCCUCCAGGUCCCACUGGUUAGAUGAGGGUAUUUGAAUUAAGGAUUAAACCACACAGAAUCUUCUAAUUUAGUAAUACUGUUUGAGCUCCUCCCAUGUGAAAAAGUAAGCAAUCAGGUGUUCUGAAGGCCACAGAAUUCUUAUAGGCAGCAACAAAUCAGGGAACACCACCUGGAAGAGGAGAAGUAGAACCAGGCUUUAAGAGGCUGAAUUUGGAGAGGCAUAGAGGAGUCCCUCCAACAAAAAGAGGGUUGCAAGGUUUAGGAUUUGCCAUGAUAUGAAAGCCUGUCUAGUCCUCUGGCUUGGUGGACUUAUAACUCCAUCAUUUUUACAGGUAGAAGGGGCUUUAAGGUCUUCUAGUUCAACCUUCCAUUACACAUGUGGGAAGACUGAGGCCAGAGCAGGGAGGUAACUUGGCCACUGUUCCCCAGCAAGUGAGCGACAGCACAGGGAUGAGAGCCCAGGUCUGACUUACAGCCCUGUGCUCUUUUCACCACAUUUCUUGAAUAAUCCACUGUGCACCUGGCGAUGCUUUUCUUUCAGAAUCCAGCCACGACUUCGUUUUCUCUGCAUGGCAGGCAGCCAAGCGCCUUGAACUUCUCCAUGUUACCAUUUUGCCCUCUGCAGAAUGGGAUAUUAAAGUAUUCACUUGGGGGAGGGGUCAUGGGGUUUCGUCAAUAAAUGUUUGUGAAUUGCUCUGAGCUAUUUAUGCCAGAGGGAUUCCAGAAGUGAAAGACCCUGGUGGCCGUGGUGGUUGUAUCUGAGCCUUUUUUGAGGUCUUCCCUCUACUCUGCAGAAUUAAAGAGAUGGUUUAAGUGAUAAACUAUUCCUUAUGAGCUGUAUUUGUGUUGAAAGCACAGCAUGAGUUCCCAGCACGCUUCCUCUAGCACAACCACAGCUAUGCACCAAUCCUCCUGGGUUCAGAGAUGGAACUUGGGUUAAAUGCAUGGAAUUUAUUCUUAGUCCUUUUCUUAAUUACGACUUUUUAUUUCUCUGGUGUUCUCUAGGGGAGGGGUUAGAGAAGAGAGGAAAAGGAAGAAAGAAAGGGGGCAGGGAAAUAUAGAUUCAAUGCUUUUGUUUUGUUUCUGGGCUGCUUGCUAUCAGCAAAGUAGAGAGAUUUAACGGAUCUUGCCGAGAAUGCAAGCCUCAUUCCAAGGAAGCCAGAGCUCAGAAGACAUGGAACAAAUACAAUGAAAACAUAACUUGAGGUCGGAAAAUGUCCCCUGAAUAUUUAUGUCAAUGUCCUACCUUAGUGAAUAUUACUUAAUACUGUGGCUCCUUUAAAGCAUUGUGAUUUCAUUAUGAAGUCAGAUGGAAUGAGGAGUGUGUAAAUCCAGAAUCAGAAUCCCAGCGACGAAGCUUUUCUUGCUCUGUUACCUUGGAAAAUGCUUUGAACCAGACCAGAUAAGAAAAGUAAAAGUCUGGAGUGUAAUCCUUCCAAUUGUCUUUUGGCUUCUCUUCUACUUCUACAAAAAGUUCAACAAGUCGGUGGGCAGAAGUCUAAAAUCAAGGUGUCAGCAGUGUGGAAUCCUUCUGGAGGCUUUGAGAAAUUAGAAUUUGAAACAACGGAAAGAGAGAAAUUUUAGGUUAGUAGCUAAAUCCCCAAGGAUACUAAUUAGAGAAAGAUGUUGGAAUUGCCUUAAUGAGUCACUGCCAACGCAAGUCCUAAGGAAGCAAAGACUGUGAGUAAGCAAAGGUAGCCAGCUGCUGGGAAGAGGACAAUAGAGGAAAAGGUCAGAGGGACUUUAAAAGACUGACUGUGGGCUCCCUGAGGGAAGGAGGGAUGGAGAGAGUAUCGGGUCCUAUAGAAUACCUUAAUUGUUUUUAUGACUUCUCUUUUCCAUAUCCAGUUCACAUGUACUCCUUUCUGUGCAUUAAAUUGAGUUUCUAUUGGCUUCUUUGUAACAAAAAGAACUGAACAGAAACACAUAUCUAUUGGACAAAGAGCAAUAAAAUGAUAUAAUAACUGUAUCUGAGGGUUUUUUCAUUUUAAAGAAUAAAACAAAACAAAAAUCAAACAAAAAAAACCAUCUAUCUGAUGUUGCUCCACUCCCAACAGCAUCACUAACCGGUAUGUACCCAGCUUCAGCUAAAUAUCCCUAAAACACCUCUUACUUUCCAAGGCAAAGUCUCCCACUGUUGAGUCGUGUUGACUGAUAAAAAGUUCCCUCUGGGGUAAAAAAAUGAAAUUAGUUUUACCUAUCCUGGGGUCACCUCCAAAUACAUAUGCCUGUAAUGUAUUUCAAUUAGAAUACAUUACACACUCCCUGUCACCUUCACUAGGAGAAAAUCAGCAAAGUCAACCAGCAUUUUUAGUUGUCACAACUAAAAGGUACUCCUAGCAUCUGGUAGGCGGAGGCCAGGGAUGCUGCUAAACAUCCUACAAUGGACAGGACAGCCUCUCACAACAAAGAAUUUCCAGCCCAAAAUGUCAACUUUGCCAAAGUAGAAAAGCCCUGUACUAAAGGAGACCUUCCAUAUAAUAGACGGAACCCCCUCUUAGAAGAGAGGCCUUAGAAAUGCUAUGGUUUUGGAGCUUUUCUAUUGAGCCCCUCAUAUUUUCCAUCAACAGCAAGGCCCAGGUAUUAAUUAUAUGGUCUUAUUCUGUGACCUGGUUUGUCAUUCCUGAAAUAGCUAAAAGUAAAACAGAUGUCAUUUCAAUAUCAAGAAGCAGUGGAACAGAAAGUGCCAAGGAGCAGGUGUAUCAGAUACUCAGAGGUGGUAAAGUCAUGGCUGUCCAUGCUUUGGAGCUAGGGCAUCUACAAUGCAAAGGAAGAUUUUAAAUGUGAAUUUUGUGUUCUGGUCUAUGAGUAGAUGAUUCACGACACUAGUUUGAAAAUGCCUGAGUAAUAACUUGACUUUGUUUCUGCACUGGACAUCUGUUGUUUUUGUUCACUGGCAUCACUUCCCUUUUCUUUUUUUCUUUCUUUUUUUUUUUCUUUUUUUUUUUUUUUUUUUUUUUUGAGACACAGUCUUGCUCUGUCCCCCAGGCUGGAGUGCAAUGGCAUGAUCUCGGCUCACUGCAACCUCCACCUCCCAGGUUCUAGCGAUUCUCCUGCCUCAGCCUCCUGAGUAGCUGGGAAUGCAUGCGCAUGCCACCACGUCUGGCCAAUUUUAUUUUAACUAGAGACAGGGUUUCAUCAUGUUGGCCAAGCUGGUCUCGAACUCCCGACCUCAGGUGAUUCCUCUGCCUCAGCCUCCCAAAGUGCUGGGAUUACAGGCAUGAGCCACCAUUCCCGGCUCCCUUCCCUUUUCUUAUGGGAACAGCAUUGAAUUUUCCUUUGAGAAAAUACCUCUCCCUAUAGGGGUAGUUCCUACAAAGUUUCGAUGGAAUUAUGUCAGAGGCUCUUAUACUUUCACACCAUGGCUUGGCAAGUAUCUCAAUCUAGGCCAAUCAGUCUUUGUUUCCUUAGGAUAUACAUCUUGAGUGAAGUAAUGCGUGAAUGGGAAACAUUUAAAGCUGAUUCAUGUGAAUUGGGAUAGUUCCUGAACAGAAUGCCUACGGUUCUUUCUAU
rnacentral:lncRNA from 1 species